GUAUUGUAUUGCGUUAAACGCGGUGCGCAUUCCAUAAGACUUUAUUACAGUGUGUGUGUAAAGAUGCAGAACCACGGAAGGGAGGUGGGGCCCCCCAGACCACAGAACUACAGAGGGUGCACAGGUGUGAGUGGAUGUGUAAACAGAGCGUGCACGUGUCCCCUUCCGAGGACCAGCAACAACUCGUGUCGACGACUCGGUAAUGAUCCUUCCGCAGGUUCACCUACGGAAA
rnacentral:misc_RNA from 1 species